GACGAACGCUGGCGGCGUGCUUAACACAUGCAAGUCGAACGGAAAGGCCCUGCUUUUGUGGGGUGCUCGAGUGGCGAACGGGUGAGUAACACGUGAGUAACCUGCCCUUGACUUUGGGAUAACUUCAGGAAACUGGGGCUAAUACCGGAUAGGAGCUCCUGCUGCAUGGUGGGGGAUUGGAAAGUUUCGGCGGUUGGGGAUGGACUCGCGGCUUAUCAGCUUGUUGGUGGGGUAGUGGCUUACCAAGGCUUUGACGGGUAGCCGGCCUGAGAGGGUGACCGGCCACAUUGGGACUGAGAUACGGCCCAGACUCCUACGGGAGGCAGCAGUGGGGAAUAUUGCACAAUGGGCGGAAGCCUGAUGCAGCAACGCCGCGUGCGGGAUGACGGCCUUCGGGUUGUAAACCGCUUUCGCCUGUGACGAAGCGUGAGUGACGGUAAUGGGUAAAGAAGCACCGGCUAACUACGUGCCAGCAGCCGCGGUGAUACGUAGGGUGCGAGCGUUGUCCGGAUUUAUUGGGCGUAAAGGGCUCGUAGGUGGUUGAUCGCGUCGGAAGUGUAAUCUUGGGGCUUAACCCUGAGCGUGCUUUCGAUACGGGUUGACUUGAGGAAGGUAGGGGAGAAUGGAAUUCCUGGUGGAGCGGUGGAAUGCGCAGAUAUCAGGAGGAACACCAGUGGCGAAGGCGGUUCUCUGGGCCUUUCCUGACGCUGAGGAGCGAAAGCGUGGGGAGCGAACAGGCUUAGAUACCCUGGUAGUCCACGCUGUAAACGGUGGGUACUAGGUGUGGGGUCCAUUCCACGGGUUCCGUGCCGUAGCUAACGCUUUAAGUACCCCGCCUGGGGAGUACGGCCGCAAGGCUAAAACUCAAAGGAAUUGACGGGGCCCCGCACAAGCGGCGGAGCAUGCGGAUUAAUUCGAUGCAACGCGUAGAACCUUACCUGGGUUUGACAUGGAUCGGGAGUGCUCAGAGAUGGGUGUGCCUCUUUUGGGGUCGGUUCACAGGUGGUGCAUGGCUGUCGUCAGCUCGUGUCGUGAGAUGUUGGGUUAAGUCCCGCAACGAGCGCAACCCUUGUUCACUGUUGCCAGCACGUUAUGGUGGGGACUCAGUGGAGACCGCCGGGGUCAACUCGGAGGAAGGUGGGGAUGACGUCAAGUCAUCAUGCCCCUUAUGUCCAGGGCUUCACGCAUGCUACAAUGGCUGGUACAGAGAGUGGCGAGCCUGUGAGGGUGAGCGAAUCUCGGAAAGCCGGUCUCAGUUCGGAUUGGGGUCUGCAACUCGACCUCAUGAAGUCGGAGUCGCUAGUAAUCGCAGAUCAGCAACGCUGCGGUGAAUACGUUCCCGGG
rnacentral:rRNA from 1 species